UGGGGAAUAUUGCACAAUGGGCGCAAGCCUGAUGCAGCCAUGCCGCGUGUAUGAAGAAGGCCUUCGGGUUGUAAAGUACUUUCAGCGGGGAGGAAGGCGAUGCGGUUAAUAACCGCGUCGAUUGACGUUACCCGCAGAAGAAGCACCGGCUAACUCCGUGCCAGCAGCCGCGGUAAUACGGAGGGUGCAAGCGUUAAUCGGAAUUACUGGGCGUAAAGCGCACGCAGGCGGUCUGUUAAGUCAGAUGUGAAAUCCCCGGGCUUAACCUGGGAACUGCAUUUGAAACUGGCAGGCUUGAGUCUUGUAGAGGGGGGUAGAAUUCCAGGUGUAGCGGUGAAAUGCGUAGAGAUCUGGAGGAAUACCGGUGGCGAAGGCGGCCCCCUGGACAAAGACUGACGCUCAGGUGCGAAAGCGUGGGGAGCAAACAGG
rnacentral:rRNA from 1 species